CUUUGAUUGAGAGUUCCUGCAUGGCAGGGGUUGGACUGGAUGGCCCUUGAGGUCUCUUCCAACUCUGAUUCUAUGAAAUAACUGAGUUUAUUUGUGUGGAUGUUCUAUGUAUGUGUAUGUUUUUGUAUGUAGAGUAAAUUUCGUAUAUUGUAAGUUGGUUUAUAUUGUUAGUUAUGUUUAAAAAAUAUUCUGCUUCUUACCUGAUCAUGGUCAAGGUCUGCAUCUCCAGUGAUAACAAUCCGCUUUUCAAUUCUGGUUUCUGACACACCACCUUUUAUCGUCUAUAGGGUUCACAAGAAAGAAAAAAAUGAUGUGUAUGUGUGUGUUAAUAUUCAAGCAGAGUGAAUUUACUGUAAAAGGACAAUAAAAGCUGAUUCAUAUCUACUCUGUCACAACACAAUCAACACUGUAGCAGAAAUGGAAAAACUUUCAAGAAAUUCAUCAAUGUUGUAAGAUGAGGCAGAGCUAGAAGACCCAUCCUGUAUAGCAACUUCUUAGGUGAAGAAGUGGUGAUAGCCUGUCUUUCAGCUCCAAGACAAACUGGAGGAAAUACUACAGCUGCAGGUGCAUCCCAUCAUUCACAGCACUCAAACCUUCUUUUCAACAGGGCUUUAAGAAUAUUACAAGAGGAAAAAAGUUGGCUAGUGCCCCAGAAAUAAAAUAAUAAAGUCUGAUUUAUGAAGCAUGGGAGUUAUUAUAGCAUGUUGCCAGCCCUUUAAACACACACACACACACACAGAGAGAGAGAGAGAGAGAGAGAGAGAGAGAGAGAGAGAGAGGUAUUUUAAACAGUGCUGGUUUUUUUCUGUCAGCCUGGCUUUUGAAACAGCAGAGAUCAGCAAGCAGUAUGCUACAGAAUGCCUUGCAAGUGUCUUAGGCGAAGUACCAUGGAAAGUACCAUAUCCAAAGUUUGAAAAGUGCUGUCUACCGGCAUGUAUCGUAAAUAAAAGCAGGAACAUAAUAAAAGUUAAAUAACUCAAAAAAGUAGCUACAUCAUAUUUUAAGUUUCUAGUGUUUCUAUAACUAGCAUGGAAUUUGUUCAAAGUCCAUUUAAAAAAAAAAAGAAAUCCAAUUUACACUGAAAGAAGGGGAAAGUUUAAGACUCAUUCUAGUUUUUACCUUUGUAAUGUGUGUGGUGGUGGUUGUAGAAACAGAUUCUGCUGUGAUCGUCUGUGCACUCAACAGUACACCAGCAUCACCACUGCCAUCGAACUGCAUAAUUAAAGAGAGGGAACAGUCAAGUCUAUCAAAUGAACCAAACAGAGAUCUGUAUUUGUUUGAAAACCUGAAGAGGACAGAGAAGAAGAAAGGCAGAGAUAUUUAACCCUAUGGCUCUAGACAAGUUAGAAAAUGGAAAGCAACAAAUUAACAGCAGAAGACAAAACAGCAGAGAUCUACAAAAGAAACAACAGGCAAGACAAGAAACAAAGGGCAUGCAAACAGAGAGAAAAAGCACGCACAAAAGGACAGUACACUGAAAUGUAUUUCUUUAAAGGAUAUGGCUCACAUUGUACUUUUAUGACAAAAAGUUCAAUAAAAAUGAUCACAUAA